GACGAACGCUGGCGGCGUGCCUAAUACAUGCAAGUUGAGCGCUGAAGGUUGGUACUUGUCCCAACUGGAUGAGCAGCGAACGGGUGAGUAACGCGUGGGGAAUCUGCCUUUGACCGGGGGACAACAUUUGGAAACGAAUGCUAAAACCGCAUAAAAACUUUAAACACAGGUUUUAGGUUUGAAAGAUGCAAUUGCAUCACUCAAAAAUGAUCCCGCGUUUUAUUAGUUAGUUGGGGGGGAAAAGGCCCACCAAGGGGUUGAUCCAUAGCCGACCUGAGAGGGUGAUCGGCCACAUUGGGACUGAGACACGGCCCAAACUCCUACGGGAGGCAGCAGUAGGGAAUCUUCGGCAAUGGACGAAAGUCUGACCGAGCAACGCCGCGUGAGUGAAGAAGGUUUUCGGAUCGUAAAACUCUGUUGGUAGAGAAGAACGUUGGUGAGAGUGGAAAGCUCAUCAAGUGACGGUAACUACCCAGAAAGGGACGGCUAACUACGUG
rnacentral:rRNA from 1 species